GAUGAAGAACGUAGCGAAAUGCGAUAAGUAAUGUGAAUUGCAGAAUUCAGUGAAUCAUCGAAUCUUCGAACGCACCUUGCGCCCUUUGGCCAUUCCGAAGGGCAUGCCUGUUUGAGUAUCAUGAACACCUCAACUCUCAUGGCUCGCCAUGAUGAGCUUGGACUUUGGGGGUCUUGCUGGCCUGUGGUCGGCUCCUCUCAAAUGGAUCAGCUUGCCAGUGUUUGGUGGCAUCACAGGUGUGAUAACUAUCUGCGCUUGUGGUUUUCCAUCAGAUAACCUUCAGUGAUGGAGGUUCGCUGGAGCUCAUAAACGUCUCCCCUAAGCGGGGACAGCCCUUUGAAUGUUUGAUCUCAAAUCAGGUAGGACUACCCGCUGAACUUAAGCAUAUCAAUAAGCGGAGGA
rnacentral:misc_RNA from 1 species